AUACGGAGGGUGCAAGCGUUGUUCGGAAUUAUUGGGCGUAAAGGGCGUGCAGGCGGUCUGUUAAGUCUGGUGUGCAAGCCCGGGGCUCAACCCCGGAAGUGCAUUGGAUACUGGCAGACUUGAGUAUGGAAGAGGAAAGCGGAAUUCCGAGUGUAGGAGUGAAAUCCGUAGAUAUUCGGAGGAACACCAGUGGCGAAGGCGGCUUUCUGGACCAAUACUGACGCUGAGACGCGAAAGCGUGGGUAGCAAACAGGAUUAGAUACCCUGGUAGUCCACGCUGUAAACGAUGGGUACUAGGUGUUGCGGGUAACCACUCCUGCAGUGCCGUAGCUAACGCAUUAAGUACCCCGCCUGGGGAGUACGGCCGCAAGGCUAAA
rnacentral:rRNA from 1 species